rnacentral:rRNA from 1 species
GGGUUGUGAGGUUAAGCGACUAAGCGUACACGGUGGAUGCCCUGGCAGUCAGAGGCGAUGAAGGACGUGCUAAUCUGCGAUAAGCGCCGGUAAGGUGAUAUGAACCGUUAUAACCGGCGAUUUCCGAAUGGGGAAACCCAGUGUGAUUCGUCACACUAUCAUUAACUGAAUCCAUAGGUUAAUGAGGCGAACCGGGGGAACUGAAACAUCUAAGUACCCCGAG